AUGACGGGGGCCCGCACAAGCGGCGGAGCAUGCGGAUUAAUUUGAUGCAACGCGAAGAACCUUUCCAAGGCUUGACAUAUACGAGAACGCUGCAGAAAUGUAGAACUCUUUGGACACUCGUAAACAGGUGGUGCAUGGUUGUCGUCAGCUCGUGUCGUGAGAUGUUGGGUUAAGUCCCGCAACGAGCGCAACCCUCGUUCUAUGUGCCAGCGCGUA
rnacentral:rRNA from 2 species